UCAAGACCCUGAGAUCAGGAUUCGCAUGCUCUACUGACGGAGCCAGCCAUGCACUCCUAGUACAGAUUGCAGAAACAGCUGAGGUACUUCUCAGAUUCCCCUCUUUCAAGGAGAGAGGCAGAGUCCAUCCCCACGCAUGUCUCUUUGGAGCCACAUGGGGCGGGUGCAUCAGCUGUCCACCGUCCGCCGGUAUUCGGCCGUGCCGUCGGCUAUGAUCGCGUCCAGGGGCGAGCGCUUCUUCCGGAUGCUGCGGCCGGAGGAGAUGAGGUCGGCGUAGCCCCGCUGGUGCGAGAAGGCGUAGGCCGAGCGCCGCGACGACAUGCCCCGGCGGAACACUUGCUGCCGCCCCUUCCACUGCUCCUCAGCUUUUAACCGCUUGCGGUGCUUCUGAAUCUACAGAACGGGAGAGAUGGGGCCAAGCUGACGAUGACACUGAAGGUCAUGCCAUUCAAUUACCUCUGAGGGAUGAAGAGCAUCCUCCUUGCCACACAAGGAAAUGGAGUUGUGGAGAACUGAAAAGAUUUCCCAGGGUAACAGAACUAGCCAUGGCAACUCCUGAAUUAAACCCCAUACCCAUCCGACUGGAGCCACGCCUUUUCUGCUGCAAAUCGGCAGCUAGUUUAUGUCAGAGGAAGUAAUAAUUCAUACAACCAGGUGCCCAGCCUGUCCUGAAGUGUCCCUGUUGCACAAGGCUCCUACCUGGUCAAGCAGCCCCAUGAGGAGCACGGGCAGGCUGGAGUACAGCACGUUGUACAGCGUGAUGAACCAGUCUUCGUACGCAGUCUGUGAGGAGAUUACAGAGUCGCUGUGUCACAAACCAAGACCUACUGCCCGCCUAGUCAACAUGCAUUUAACACUCAAAGCGGGGAAGACCCCUGGACGUGCGUGGCCUCUGCCAGAGCAAGCAGCCCUCAUCUACAGCUGCCCAAGAGUACCCAUUGAAGAAGGAGUACCAGAAAUGAACCAAAGUAAAUGCGAAGUUUUUAUAAAAGAAGUAUCGUAGGAAUUUGCACAUCCUUAUGUAAGACCACCGGCCAUGUACCAGCAGCAGUCUCUGCAAGUAUCUGAACUGGGCAAAGGAGUAGUCACUUGACAUGACCGCUUGCAUGCCUUCUUGUCCACUUAUUCCAACACCGAUGUGGGCAGCUGUGGGGCAGAGGGAGAAGACGUGAAUCAUAAGCUAAUUUUAAGGCAAAACACUGAGGUGAUAAAAACGUUUCCACAGGAAAACAACACAAUCAUGGAAUAAUACAUGUGAAAACUUGCUCACCAGCCCCUCCCCAGCUUUUGAACUCAAUGUCAGAGAUACAAGUUGCUCAAAAGAGCACAUGCUGGGGCCUCUCAAAGGUAUUUGUGAAAGGAUCUCAGGUGGGUCAUAAAUUCCAUUUGGAUUAUCUGCCCAGCUCAUAAGCCAUCAUAAGCCAUCCUUCCCACCCAUGGGGUGAACCCAAGGAGUCCAUGCGGACUCCGCGUCCCUGCCUCCCUGGCCACAGCUGAGUCAGCUAUGGGCAGAUAUGUCCUCAGCAGCAGAUACUACACAGUGGCUCUCCCAACCUUCAUUCCACCCUUGUUCUACUGGAAAGGUGGGAAAGCACAUAAAAACCCACAUGCUCAGAAUGUAGCUGCAAGGGAGUCUGUCUGUGAAUCGGGUUCCAUUGUUAGGAGCCACCUGAAGUGGAAGUAGAAGCGAACUGGACCCCAGCACCCCUGCCCUUUCUGGCAUUUCUGCAGCAGAGUUCAUACCCUCUCUUCAGCUGCCUGGAUGUUGAGCGACAAAAGCUUCUCCACUGAAAAGCCCUUCACAGGAGCCUCGAAGCUAGAAGCUCCUCUGAUGAGAAAGCUGAGGCUGAGCACGAGCCCAGGGUGACACGGCAUGUUGGCAACAGAAUGAAGACAAGUAUUCAGGCCUCGCUAGUUUUCAUUACAAGAUGCUCCCUGACAGUAAUACAGGGAGGAAACAAAAAAACAAAAACAACCCAGGAUUCAGGAAUGUUGAUGAGGGUUUGGUUCUGUACACUUUAAUACCAGCACAAUGUAUUUCUGCAUGAUAGGACUCAGUUCUUCAAUUUGUGAAGACCUAGGGUCCUUCGACCAGUGAAACGACCCUUGACAGUCUUCUAGGAGGGUCAGGAGGAUGGUGAGACCACGUUGGAGCUUUGCUUCAAUGCCACAUGUGUUACCCUGAGCUCAUACUAGGCCACCCAGUUUACCAAGGGCAAGAAGAAAGCCCCAGAAAAAAGAUGCUUAGGUGAAAGAAAAAUACCCUCAAAACAAAUACGAAAGAGAAUUCAACAAUUUACUCCAAGCUCAGCAGAGAUGUUUGCAAAACGUAUUAAAUAGCAGGAGUUUUUAAAUAAGCCUUAAGGAAAUAUGGAGGAAAAGCAGCAAGAAAGGGAAAACAAAACAGAUCCACAUGUAUGUAAAAGAGGGAAACGAAUAAGGCUAAGCUCCCCCAUCUGGAACUCUUAUUUGGCAUUCCCCAAGUGGCACAGUCCUACCUGCUCCCUCCUACUGGGUAGCCUGAGCUUCCUAAGGGCAGGGUCACAGGUGUCGUCAUUGUGGGUAAGGGCCUCUGUCAGACAUCUACCUUAUGAUGAAAGCCUAAGCAAUGAAAUUUGGAAAGACUACCCCCCCCCCAAAACAUCCAUGCCAUUUCUUCUCUCUGGCAAGUCCAGUGGCAUUGGCCAUGGGCAAGACUCACUUUU